AAUGAACGCUGGCGGCAGGCCUAACACAUGCAAGUCGAACGGAUCCUUCGGGAUUAGUGGCGGACGGGUGAGUAACGCGUGGGAACAUACCCAAAGGUACGGAAUAGCCUCGGGAAACUGGGAGUAAUACCGUAUGUGCUCGAAAGAGGAAAGAUUUAUCGCCUUUGGAGUGGCCCGCGUUGGAUUAGGUAGUUGGUGGGGUAAUGGCCUACCAAGCCGACGAUCCAUAGCUGGUUUGAGAGGGUGAUCAGCCACACUGGGACUGAGACACGGCCCAGACUCCUACGGGAGGCAGCAGUGGGGAAUCUUAGACAAUGGGGGAAACCCUGAUCUAGCCAUGCCGCGUGAUCGAUGAAGGCCUUAGGGUUGUAAAGACCUUUCAGGUGGGAAGAUAAUGACUGUACCACCAGAAGAAGCCCCGGCUAACUCCGUGCCAGCCGCCGCCGUAA
rnacentral:rRNA from 1 species